rnacentral:rRNA from 1 species
UCCAGACUCCUACGGGAGGCAGCAGUGGGGAAUAUUGGGCAAUGGGCGCAAGCCUGACCCAGCAACGCCGCGUGAAGGAAGAAGGCUUUCGGGUUGUAAACUUCUUUUGUCAGGGACGAAGCAAGUGACGGUACCUGACGAAUAAGCCACGGCUAACUACGUGCCAGCAGCCGCGGUAAUACGUAGGUGGCAAGCGUUAUCCGGAUUUAUUGGGUGUAAAGGGCGCGUAGGUGGGCGCUUAAGUCAGGUGUGAAAACUCCGGGCUCAACCUGGAGACUGCACUUGAAACUGGGUGUCUUGAGGGCAGGAGAGGAAAGUGGAAUUCCUAGUGUAGCGGUGAAAUGCGUAGAUAUUAGGAGGAACACCAGUGGCGAAGGCGACGUUCUGGACGGUACCUGACGCUGAGGCGCGAAAGCGUGGGGAGCGAACGGGAUUAGAUACCCCAGUAGGU